GAUGAACGCUGGCGGCGUGCCUAAUACACGCAAGUCGAGCGAACGGACGAGAAGCUUGCUUUUCUGAUGUUAGCGGCGGACGGGUGAGUAACACGUGGAUAACCUACCUAUAAGACUGGGAUAACUUCGGGAAACCGGAGCUAAUACCGGAUAAUAUUUUGAACCGCAUGGUUCAAAAGUGAAAGACGGUCUUGCUGUCACUUAUAGAUGGAUCCGCGCUGCAUUAGCUAGUUGGUAAGGUAACGGCUUACCAAGGCAACGAUGCAUAGCCGACCUGAGAGGGUGAUCGGCCACACUGGAACUGAGACACGGUCCAGACUCCUACGGGAGGCAGCAGUAGGGAAUCUUCCGCAAUGGGCGAAAGCCUGACGGAGCAACGCCGCGUGAGUGAUGAAGGUCUUCGGAUCGUAAGACUCUGUUAUUAGGGAAGAACAUAUGUGUAAGUAACUGUGCACAUCUUGACGGUACCUAAUCAGAAAGCCACGGCUAACUACGUGCCAGCAGCCGCGGUAAUACGUAGGUGGCAAGCGUUAUCCGGAAUUAUUGGGCGUAAAGCGCGCGUAGGCGGUUUUUUAAGUCUGAUGUGAAAGCCCACGGCUCAACCGUGGAGGGUCAUUGGAAACUGGAAAACUUGAGUGCAGAAGAGGAAAGUGGAAUUCCAUGUGUAGCGGUGAAAUGCGCAGAGAUAUGGAGGAACACCAGUGGCGAAGGCGACUUUCUGGUCUGUAACUGACGCUGACGUGCGAAAGCGUGGGGAUCAAACAGGAUUAGAUACCCUGGUAGUCCACGCCGUAAACGAUGAGUGCUAAGUGUUAGGGGGUUUCCGCCCCUUAGUGCUGCAGCUAACGCAUUAAGCACUCCGCCUGGGGAGUACGACCGCAAGGUUGAAACUCAAAGGAAUUGACGGGGACCCGCACAAGCGGUGGAGCAUGUGGUUUAAUUCGAAGCAACGCGAAGAACCUUACCAGAUCUUGACAUCCUUUGACAACUCUAGAGAUAGAGCCUUCCCCUUCGGGGGACAAAGUGACAGGUGGUGCAUGGUUGUCGUCAGCUCGUGUCGUGAGAUGUUGGGUUAAGUCCCGCAACGAGCGCAACCCUUAAGCUUAGUUGCCAUCAUUAAGUUGGGCACUCUAAGUUGACUGCCGGUGACAAACCGGAGGAAGGUGGGGAUGACGUCAAAUCAUCAUGCCCCUUAUGAUUUGGGCUACACACGUGCUACAAUGGACAAUACAAAGGGCAGCGAAACCGCGAGGUCAAGCAAAUCCCAUAAAGUUGUUCUCAGUUCGGAUUGUAGUCUGCAACUCGACUACAUGAAGCUGGAAUCGCUAGUAAUCGUAGAUCAGCAUGCUACGGUGAAUACGUUCCCGGGUCU
rnacentral:rRNA from 1 species